AAUCAACGCUGGCGGCGUGCCUCAGACAUGCAAGUCGAACGAUUAAGACUCCCUUCGGGGAGUGCAUAAAGUGGCGCACGGGUGAGUAACACGUAAGUAAUCUACCUUUGAGUGGGGAAUAACAACCGGAAACGGUUGCUAAUACCGCAUAAUGCAGCGGCACCGCAAGGUGACAGUUGUUAAAGAUUUAUCGCUUAAAGAGGAGCUUGCGGCAGAUUAGCUAGUUGGUAAGGUAAUGGCUUACCAAGGCUACGAUCUGUAACCGGUCUAAGAGGACGGUCGGUCACACUGACACUGAAUAACGGGUCAGACUCCUACGGGAGGCAGCAGUCGGGAAUUUUGGGCAAUGGGCGAAAGCCUGACCCAGCAACGCCGCGUGAAGGAUGAAGUAUUUCGGUAUGUAAACUUCGAAAGAAUGGGGAGAAUAAAUGACGGUACCAUUUAUAAGGUCCGGCUAACUACGUGCCAGCAGCCGCCGUAACAC
rnacentral:rRNA from 1 species